GACGAACCGUGCGAACGUUGUUCGGAUUCACUGGGCUUAAAGGGCGCGUAGGCGGACCGCCAAGUCAGGGGUGAAAGCCCCCGGCCCAACCGGGGAAGUGCCUUUGAGACUGGCGGUCUCGAGCGGGAUAGGGGCAGCUGGAACUUCCGGUGGAGCGGUGAAAUGCGUAGAUAUCAGGAGGAACACCAAUAGCGAAGGCAGCUCGCUGGGACGGUACUGACGCUGAGGCGCGAAAGCGUGGGGAGCGAACAGG
rnacentral:rRNA from 1 species